rnacentral:lncRNA from 1 species
GAGAAGAACAAGGAGGAGGAGAAGAAGAAGAAGAAGAAGAAGAAGAAGAAGAAGAAGAAGAAGAAGAAGAAGAAGAAGAAGAAGAAGAAGAAGAAGAAGAAGAAGAAGAAGAAGAAAGAAGAAGAAGAAGAAGAAAAGAAAGACCGUCUAUUUGGCAAAAACCAGUUCCCGACAUAUGAGCCCAUAAUUAUAUUUAAUAAUCUGGCAACACUGGCAGAUGCAUUAGUGUAAAUAAGUGUUGCUUGUGACCCUAACCUGGCCAUGCUCAUUGCCUGCUGAAGGGAUGAAGAAAAAAAAAAAAACAUGAGAAACAUGAUUCAUAACAAGGCCUUUAAAAGCUAGCCAUGAGAACUGAAUAACACAAUAGUACAAUUAGAAACUGUAGUAAGUAGUUUGAAGAUUCGAAAGAGUACAGAGACAGAUACUUUAUCCCAUAGACUGGAGAGUCAGAGGAGACCUACUUGGGGACAGGAUUGAGCCAGGUACACACACGGUAUAGACCCCAGAGUGUGUGCAGAAGUUCUGGGGCUGUGCAUGGGAGUGGUACUUGUGGUUUUUCCCAUCAUCACAAUCACUAGGUGUGUCAUUUGGUGUCCUGCUGAAAAAUCGAAAGCUGCACUUUUGCUCAGUUCUGGCUGAUUUAGAUUUAUUUUAUCACAGAACCACUGGUAUUUUAGUCACUUAUGAAUCCAGGGGUUUAAAAGAUUUUAAAGCUCUGCCAUGUGUAUGUAUGUUACAACUCAAAUAAGAACCACCAUAUUUUCUGGCCUUUUAAUUUACAAGUUAAUGGAAUGAGGCCAAAUAUGUCUGCCACUCUUGGUUCUUAUACCUUCUGAAGGGGAAACCGGAUCUGAGAAUCAUAUUCUAAGUCUGUAUCAGGUGAGAAAGCUUUGAAAUACACAUUAUGGAACCCUCGGUAAUCCAUUUCUGUAUCACAUAUUAGACUAUAUCUGGGUCAUCAUAAAGUACCUAGAAUAAAAUUUUGUCUUUGGAGAGGCACAUUUAGGUGGGCCACUUUCUACUUUCUGCUGGGAUGCCAGAUUGCUCCUAGGAGCAUACAAGGCACAGCAGGGAGAAGACCAGAGUGCAUCUGAAGGCCAGAGACAAUGGGAUUGGAUUCAGAGCUAAUAUCCACAUUCGAACUUAAAAUAUGAAAAGUUCAAUAACUCUGCAAAAAUCCCCUAAAACCUAAUAGCAUUCCUAAUGGCUCUACUGACAUAGCCUCCCUCCCCUCGGGACCUAGCAAUCAUCGCAGAGUUAUGUGAAAUACAUUUUCAAAAAGGAUUGUCUAGCCCAGUGUCUUUUCUACCCUCUUAUUUCUGUACCACGCCCAUAAAACUGUUUCAGCUUUACAGCCCUGUCCUCGUAAAUGCAUUCAACUCUCCAUUACCCUCACCAAUGAAGGGUAGCCUGCACGCACAUAAUUGGAAUUGGUGAAUAAUCUUCUCUGUUGAACUCUGGCCAGCUCCUCCCACUCAGCCUGGACCAUAUUUCUGUCAGGAAGGAAGACAGACUUUGUGCUCUGAGAAAGCCACCUUCUAACCUUUAUAGCUAUGUUGGGUCACACAGACACUUGUUCUCACUCCUCAUCAAGGAGACGUCUCUGGGCAAAGGAUGGAGAGCAGUAGAAAAAUCCACAACUGAUCAAAAUGCAGAGCUGCAGAGAAGCAUGGCCUGAGCAAGAUGACAACAAUAGACAUGCUAGUGUCGGGAGGGGACCCUCAGGAGGUCUCAACCCUGGACAAAGAACUGUCGGAAAGGAAGGAAUGCUGAGAGCAGGAGAAACAGUAGUCCCUGGGAAGGGCACAUAGAAUGAUUAUAGAAUAGCAUGAUUAUCCUGUGCCAAAUGUCAACCCUAAAAACAUACGUAUAGGUAAGAAGUUGUAGUUAUAUAUUUAGGAACACACACACACACACACACACACACACAUAUGCAUACGUACAUACGUACAAACAAUAAGAAUAUAUGAAUACAUAAUAAUAAUGAAUAAGAAUAUAUGAAUACACAUAUUCUUAUUGUAUGUACAUAUGUACGUAUGUACGUGUGUGUGUUUUGUGUGUGUGUGUGUGUGUGUGUGUGUAUUCCAGUUAAAGAGAAAAGCCAUCAAUUUUAAAGAACACACAAAAGAGGGAUACAUGGGAGGCCU